CCCUUAGAUGUUCUGGGCUGCACGCGUGCUACAAUGGCGCUUGCAACAAGUCUUGCCAACCCGAUAGGGUGAGCGGAUCUUUGAAGAGGCGUCGUGAUCGGGACAGUUGAUUGCAAUUAUUCGACUCGAACGAGGAAUUCCUUGUAAUCGCGAUUCAUCAUAUCGCGCUGAAUACGUCCCUGCCCUUUGUACACACCGCCCGUCGCUCCUACCGAUUGAGCGAUCCGGUGAAUGUUUUGGACUGGCGUCAGAAGCGGUUCGCUCCUGACACUACGAAAUUUUGUAAAUCUUAUCGCUUAGAGGAAGGAAAAGUCGUAACA
rnacentral:rRNA from 1 species